GGUGGGGUGGCUUAGUUGGUAAAGUGCUUGCCUUACCAAGCAUAAGGACCUGAGUUCAAUUCCCAGCCCUAUUU
rnacentral:tRNA from 1 species